AAUGGUGACUUUUCGGAUCUUUUUGAAUAGAACUCAUUCUCUCUGGGGAUUGUAAUCGUCUGACUAAUAAGUAACUAGGAAUAGAUAACCAGAUAGCUUUGUAAAGACCUAUUUGACUCCCGAAUUAUAACUUUGUUGUUACUUAUAUUAGUUAAGAGAUUGUGAUGAACAAUUAUGCGUUGAAUUAAAAUAACAAAUUGCUUGAUUGUCUGAGGUAAAAAUAAACCAAACCUGCAAACAUAAACAUUCAGAUGGUUUUCGUUUUGGUCACGUUUUCUAAAUUCAGACACACAAAAUGGCAUACAAAUUAAAAUUUAAAAUUUACUAAUAAAUGUUUCUUUUGUACGAAACAUGUGCAUAUAAAUAUUAUGUGACUUUCAUUUCAUAAUGAUGAAAAAACAAUUACUUACACUUCAAUGAUAAUUUCUAACAUAUUUCAAAAUCAAUGAUUUCAGGCUCUAAACGGUACAUUACAUAUUACAAUUAUACAUUAAGUACUUAUUUUUGCAAUAAAGUAUCCCGUUUGUUCAAAGCGUUGCUCUCUGUCCAAUUUGCUAAAGGUUAUGAAAACUGAAAAUUUUGCAUUAUUUAUUGACAUUUGAAAUCAUAUACUUCCAGCGAGGUCGUGAAAAGAGAGGAACAAACAAAUGGAAAAAUAUAUUUUAAGUCACUUCUUUCACCGGAUAUAUAUUAUUCUUAUGCACCUUGAUUACUUUUUCAAAAUCUCGAUGAAUUUGAAUUGAAAAUUAUUACUAACACGUACUAUAUAAAAUGUAAAUUUAUUU
rnacentral:misc_RNA from 1 species